UGGUUCUGGCAUCGAUGAAGAACGCAGCGAAAUGCGAUAAGUAAUGUGAAUUGCAGAAUUCAGUGAAUCAUCGAAUCUUUGAACGCACAUUGCGCCCGCCAGUACUCUGGCGGGCAUGCCUGUUCGAGCGUCAUUUCAACCCUCAAGCUCUGCUUGGUGUUGGGGAUCGGCACAGCGCCCUCGCGGCGCCGCCGUCCCCUAAAUCUAGUGGCGGUCCCGCUGUAGCCUCCUCUGCGUAGUAGUUUACUCCUCGCUCUGGAAUCUCGGCGGUGCCCUGCCGUAAAACCCCCAACUUCUGAAAGGUUGACCUCGAAUCAGGUAGGAAUACCCGCUGA
rnacentral:misc_RNA from 1 species